rfam:Hordeum vulgare subsp. vulgare, WGS project CAJW01000000 data, contig: morex_contig_37240
UAAAUACUCCCUCCAUCCCAAAUUACUUGUCGCAGAAAUGGAUGUAUCUAGAAAUAUUUUUAGUUAUAAAUACAUCCAUUUCUAUCAAUUUUUGCGACCAGUAAUUCGGGCCGGAUGGAGUAGAUG